UACGUAGGGUGCAAGCGUUGUCCGGAAUUAUUGGGCGUAAAGAGCUCGUAGGCGGUCUGUCACGUCGGAUGUGAAAACUCGGGGCUCAACCCCGAGCCUGCAUACGAUACGGGCAGACUUGAGUUCGGCAGGGGAGACUGGAAUUCCUGGUGUAGCGGUGAAAUGCGCAGAUAUCAGGAGGAACACCGGUGGCGAAGGCGGCGUCCUGGACCAACACUGACACUGAGGAGCGAAAGCCAGGGGAGCAAACGGG
rnacentral:rRNA from 1 species